UACGGAGGGUGCGAGCGUUGUCCGGAAUCACUGGGCGUAAAGGGCGCGUAGGUGGCAAGGCCAGUCAACGGUGAAAGCUUGGGGCUCAACCCCGAGUCGGCCGUCGAUACUUCUUUGCUGGAGCACUGUAGAGGCAGAUGGAAUUCCGGGUGUAGCGGUGGAAUGCGUAGAGAUCCGGAAGAACACCGGUGGCGAAGGCGGUCUGCUGGGCAGUUGCUGACACUGAUGCGCGACAGCGUGGGGAGCAAACAGG
rnacentral:rRNA from 1 species